CAAUUAUAUUUCAGAUCCCUGCCAGCAUUGGCAGCACCAUCACCAGCACCGCCGGCCUCAGGACCAAGCCCACCACCAGCGGGCGUUGACGGAGGCGGGUGUGCGGCUCUGGCGCAGCUGAGCCGUCGACCGCCGGAGCCAAUCCGGCAGUCCGGCAUUUCAGCUGCCGCACACUCGCCCGUCACAGGAUCAGAGGCCUCCCCAGACAGCUUCCCGUUUCCGACCGGCUGAGACGGCUGCCGUCCCAGCAUUGGCAGCACCACCACCAGCACCGCCGGCCUCAGGACCAAGCCCACCACCAGCGGGCGUUGACGGAGGCGGGUGUGCGGCUCUGGCGCAGCUGAGCCGUCGACCGCCGGAGCCAAUCCGGCAGUCCGGCAUUUCAGCUGCCGCACACUCGCCCGUCACAGGAUCAGAGGCCUCCCGAGACAGGUCCGGCCCGUACCGACAUUGACUCACGACGAGUCUACUGAGUCAUACAGAGUCAUGGGGAGUCAUCCAGAGUCAACGGAUGUCAUGGGAGUGAACAUAGGUGUGGAGGAGUCCUCCGGAGUCAGCGAAGUCAUCCAGAGUCUACAAUAGAGUCCUGGGAGUGAAAAUGAGCUGUGUUAGCGGGUUAAGACGCUGUUUAUACGUAUCCCGGCUAGGCGGGCCGUCGCUCGGUGUCCGGCGGUCGGUGCGCCGCGCCGCCCGCCCAUGUGUCACGGCUGGCCGGCUGUGCGGGUGUCUCCUGCCCGCCGGCCCGGUGAUCGGUCCGUACCACGAGGGCUGAGAGGGGACGGGCCCCGCGGCGGUCAGCAGCAGCUCAGAGAGGCCUCGGCCGGUCAGCCGACGGUGCGGCGUGUGUUCGACGGGUCCGACGGCGGCCUUACAGACGUGAGAACGGACCGGAGAGCAGCCGAGCUGAGGGCCAGCUGCCCAUUCUGAUCGGCGUGUCCUGCACUGGUCAGACACUGCAGCCUAUACUGAUC